UUGAACGCUGGCGGCAGGCCUAACACAUGCAAGUCGAGCGGUAGCACAGAGAGCUUGCUCUCGGGUGACGAGCGGCGGACGGGUGAGUAAUGUCUGGGAAACUGCCUGAUGGAGGGGGAUAACUACUGGAAACGGUAGCUAAUACCGCAUAACGUCGCAAGACCAAAGUGGGGGACCUUCGGGCCUCAUGCCAUCAGAUGUGCCCAGAUGGGAUUAGCUAGUAGGUGGGGUAACGGCUCACCUAGGCGACGAUCCCUAGCUGGUCUGAGAGGAUGACCAGCCACACUGGAACUGAGACACGGUCCAGACUCCUACGGGAGGCAGCAGUGGGGAAUAUUGCACAAUGGGCGCAAGCCUGAUGCAGCCAUGCCGCGUGUGUGAAGAAGGCCUUCGGGUUGUAAAGCACUUUCAGCGGGGAGGAAGGCGAUAAGGUUAAUAACCUUGUCGAUUGACGUUACCCGCAGAAGAAGCACCGGCUAACUCCGUGCCAGCAGCCGCGGUAAUACGGAGGGUGCAAGCGUUAAUCGGAAUUACUGGGCGUAAAGCGCACGCAGGCGGUCUGUCAAGUCGGAUGUGAAAUCCCCGGGCUCAACCUGGGAACUGCAUUCGAAACUGGCAGGCUAGAGUCUUGUAGAGGGGGGUAGAAUUCCAGGUGUAGCGGUGAAAUGCGUAGAGAUCUGGAGGAAUACCGGUGGCGAAGGCGGCCCCCUGGACAAAGACUGACGCUCAGGUGCGAAAGCGUGGGGAGCAAACAGGAUUAGAUACCCUGGUAGUCCACGCCGUAAACGAUGUCGAUUUGGAGGUUGUGCCCUUGAGGCGUGGCUUCCGGAGCUAACGCGUUAAAUCGACCGCCUGGGGAGUACGGCCGCAAGGUUAAAACUCAAAUGAAUUGACGGGGGCCCGCACAAGCGGUG
rnacentral:rRNA from 1 species